UAAGCAUAUCAAUAAGCGGAGGAAAAGAAACCAACAGGGAUUGCCCCAGUAACGGCGAGUGAAGCGGCAGCAGCUCAAAUUUGGAAUCUGGCCCCCAGGGCCCGAGUUGUAAUUUGCAGAGGAUGCUUUUGGCGCGGUGCCUUCCGAGUUCCCUGGAACGGGACGCCAUAGAGGGUGAGAGCCCCGUCUGGUCGGACACCAAGCCAGUGUAAAGCUCCUUCGACGAGUCGAGUAGUUUGGGAAUGCUGCUCUAAAUGGGAGGUAUAUGUCUUCUAAAGCUAAAUAUAGGCCAGAGACCGAUAGCGCACAAGUAGAGUGAUCGAAAGAUGAAAAGCACUUUGAAAAGAGGGUUAAACAGUACGUGAAAUUGUUGAAAGGGAAGCGUUUAUGACCAGACUUGGGCCCGGUGAAUCAUCCAGCGUUCUCGCUGGUGCACUUUGCCGGGCUCAGGCCAGCAUCAGUUCGCCGCGGGGGAUAAAGGCUUCGGGAACGUGGCUCCCUCGGGAGUGUUAUAGCCCGUUGCGUAAUACCCUGUGGCGGACUGAGGUUCGCGCUCCGCAAGGAUGCUGGCGUAAUGGUCAUCAGUGACCCGUCUUGAAACACGGACCAAGGAGUCGUCUUCGUAUGCGAGUGUUCGGGUGUCAAACCCCUACGCGUAAUGAAAGUGAACGCAGGUGAGAGCUUCGGCGCAUCAUCGACCGAUCCUGAUGUUCUCGGAUGGAUUUGAGUAAGAGCAUACGGGGCCGGACCCGAAAGAAGGUGAACUAUGCCUGUAUAGGGUGAAGCCAGAGGAAACUCUGGUGGAGGCUCGCAGCGGUUCUGACGUGCAAAUCGAUCGUCAAAUAUGGGCAUGGGGGCGAAAGACUAAUCGAACCUUCUAGUAGCUGGUUUCCGCCGAAG
rnacentral:rRNA from 1 species